UUUGCUGUAUAAGCAAGAGAACCCACCACGUUAGUGUAACGUAUCUUGUACAUCACACUAAUAUGUGAUUUAAUUUACCAAGUGAGAUGAGUUACUUUUAUGGCUCAUUCAGUCAUAUCACACUGCAAGCUGCAUUCAUCAAUCUUCAAUUGGAUUUUGCAAAUGUUUAAUGAAACAUGUUUCCCUUUUAUGCAGAUAUGCAAUGGCAAGCCCUUCCGUGUGUUCCAAAGACAAUGCCUACGCCUAGCCACAGCAGCUCCCUCAUACAGACUCCGCAAGCCAGGAGGCCGUGGAGGCAAAUGCAGGCAGCCAGCACACCUCGAACAGCCACUUUGACUGCGGGUGUGUCA
rnacentral:lncRNA from 1 species